AUACGGAGGGUGCAAGCGUUACUCGGAAUCACUGGGCGUAAAGCGCGCGCAGGCGGCUAUUUAAGUUGGAUGUGAAAGCCUACGGCUCAACCGUAGAACUGCAUCCAAAACGAUCUAGCUAGAGUGUGGGAGAGGAAGAUGGAAUUAGUUGUGUAGGGGUAAAAUCCGUAGAGAUAACUAGGAAUACCAAAAGCGAAGGCAAUCUUCUGGAACACUACUGACACUGAGGCGCGAAAGCGUGGUGAGCAAACAGGAUUAGAAACCCUAGUAGUCC
rnacentral:rRNA from 1 species